UACGAUGGGGGCGAGCGUUGUUCGGAUUUACUGGGCGUAAAGGGCGCGCAGGCGGCGGAUCAAGUCAGAUGUGAAAGCCCCGGGCUUAACCUGGGAACUGCAUUUGGGACUGGUUUGCUAGAGAUCGGGAGAGGAGAGUGGAAUUCCCAGUGUAGAGGUGAAAUUCGUAGAUAUUGGGAAGAACACCGGUGGCGAAGGCGGCUCUCUGGACCGAUACUGACGCUGAGGCGCGAAAGCGUGGGGAGCAAACAGG
rnacentral:rRNA from 1 species